CCUACGGGCGGCUGCAGUGGGGAAUAUUGGACAAUGGGGGGAACCCUGAUCCAGCCAUGCCGCGUGUGUGAAGAAGGCCCUCGGGGUGUAAAGCACUUUCAGUGAGGAAGAACGCCUGGUGGUUAAUACCCAUCAGGAAAGACAUCACUCACAGAAGAAGCACCGGCUAACUCCGUGCCAGCAGCCGCGGUAAUACGGAGGGUGCGAGCGUUAAUCGGAAUUACUGGGCGUAAAGCGCGCGUAGGUGGCUUGAUAAGCCGGUUGUGAAAGCCCCGGGCUCAACCUGGGAACGGCAUCCGGAACUGUCAAGCUAGAGUGCAGGAGAGGAAGGUAGAAUUCGCGGUGUAGCGGUGAAAUGCGUAGAGAUCGGGAGGAAUACCAGUGGCGAAGGCGGCCUUCUGGACUGACACUGACACUGAGGUGCGAAAGCGUGGGUAGCAAACAGGAUUAGAUACCCUAGUAGUC
rnacentral:rRNA from 1 species